GCUCCCUUCGGGGAGUGCAUAAAGUGGCGCACGGGUGAGUAACACGUAAGUAAUCUACCCUCGAGUGGGGAAUAACAUCGGGAAACCGAUGCUAAUACCGCAUAAUGCAGCGGCGCCGCAAGGUGACAGUUGUUAAAGAUUUAUUGCUUGAGGAGGAGCUUGCGGCAGAUUAGCUAGUUGGUAAGGUAAUGGCUUACCAAGGCAACGAUCUGUAGCCGGUCUAAGAGGACGGUCGGUCACACUGACACUGAAUAACGGGUCAGACUCCUACGGGAGGCAGCAGUCGGGAAUUUUGGGCAAUGGGCGAAAGCCUGACCCAGCAACGCCGCGUGAAGGAUGAAGUAUUUCGGUAUGUAAACUUCGUAAGAAUGGGAAGAAUAAAUGACGGUACCAUUUGUAAGCCCCGGCUAACUACGUGCCAGCAGCCGCGGUAAUACGUAGGGGGCAAGCGUUGUUCGGAUUUACUGGGCGUAAAGGGCGCGUAGGCGGCGUGACAAGUCACUUGUGAAAUCUCCGGGCUUAACUCGGAACUGCCAAGUGAUACUGUCGUGCUAGAGUGCAGAAAGGGCAAUCGGAAUUCUUGGUGUAGCGGUGAAAUGCGUAGAUAUCAAGAGGAACACCUGAGGCGAAGGCGGGUUGCUAGGCUGACACUGACGCUGAGGCGCGAAAGCUAGGGUAGCAAACGGGAUUAGAUACCCCGGUAGUCCUAGCCCUAAACGAUGAAUACUUGGUGUCUGGAGUUUUUAUCCUCCGGGUGCCGUCGCUAACGUUUUAAGUAUUCCGCCUGGGGAGUACGCUCGC
rnacentral:rRNA from 1 species